CCCUGCAUCCGAAAGUGAUCUCAGCUGCCUGUGCUCUGGUCAUUGGUAGUGCAGGGACAGGAUGCUGAAAGAUGUGUUCCUGGGUUUGGGGAGUCUAUCCUGACCCCUCAAAGGCCUGGAGCUUUCCUACA
ensembl:snoRNA SNORA71 Small nucleolar RNA SNORA71